CUACGGGUGACAAAUCGAAGUUGCUGGAACAAGAAGAAAAGCAAAAAGUUUGCAGAAUUUCUCAAAGGUACAAUUUUCUAUCACAAUUUCUAUCUAAACGCAGAAAGAUCCUUGGUGGAAAUCGAAAUCCGUUUUUAUUUUUGCUGCACAUGAUUAAGUAGAUUCACAACAGUAGGACUAUUAAUUAGUAUAUUUUUUGAAGGAAUAACUUUAGAACUCCUUCUACAAAAAAGACAAAGAUACCAUUGUGCAAAAUCAACAUUUCAUCAUGGACAGUCACAAGCCAUAUGUCAAGAUUUCUUAUUAAUUUUGUGUGUGUCUAUUAUUUAACCAAUAUAAUCUAUAAAGACUUAUAACAAACAAUUAAGAAUAUACCUUAAAAUUGAAUUUAAGCUGUGUAAUCUGCUUGAAGAUUCUAGUAAGUUUUUUAUCGUGAACUAAAUUCAAGAUUUCAUGAUAGACAAUAUUUUUGAUACAAGAAAUAUGUGAUUUUUUUUUUAGACAAAAGGUUUGAUCAAAACUUUUACAUUUUCCCUUGUUCUAGCUCGGGACAAUGCAACAUACAAUUAACCAUGGAAAACUACGGGUUCUAGAAGAUAUAAUUCAACAAAAUUUAGAGUUUGACUUUGAGCUUUGUUAAUGGUCAUUGCAAAACAAGGACGGAGUGAAAACUGAGUUCUUUUAAAUGGUACAAACUGUUUAUCGCCUUCAAGUGGAAUGAGUAGAAUUUUAGGUAAAAUUACUUGCUUUCCACAAUAUUCUCCUGUUUCAAUUUCAGUCAAAAUAACAUUUUGCUUAAAGUCACGGACAAAUAAGUUUAGUCCCAUUGCAUAAACCUUCUACAUGAUUAAUAUUUCUAAGCAAUAUAACUGGACAAUUUUUUUUUUCAAUAUGAAUUCAUGUGGAGGUAUACCGUUUGGAGCUAGAUUAUUCAAAAAAUAUUCAUCAAUAAAUUCUUCACUUUUAUCAAUAACUUCACUAAAACUAAAAUAUGUAACUUUCUCUCGCGAAAUUCGUUUAAGUAACAUACUAUUUAUUAAAUCUACACAUUCAUUUUUUGGGGUUAAAAUAAUUCUAUUCAUCAUAAUAUUUAGGUUGUCUCCAUAUAUUUGGAAAUUAGGAAACACAAUGUCAAUUAAUUCCUUCAGUGAUUUAAAUUCAUCUUCAAAAUUGAUGGUAAUAUCUUCCAGAAUUGUAAUCAUUUGGCAUGAAUAUAUUAUCUCAAUUCCAUUCCCAAUGUUCAACAAAUAUUCAUAAAAUGAAGGACUAAUUUAGCUCUCAUAUUUUCAACUAGUGGUAGCUGUGUAAAAGAAUGCUAUAAAUGUGAAAAAACUAAACUUCACUUUAUUAUAUCGUCUUUUGUUCCUCUCUGUACUAUUGGUAAAACCUGACGGAAAUCUCCUCCACACACAAUUACUUUUCCAUCAAACAGUAAUUGACAUUCAAUAAUGUCUCUUAACAUUUUAUCUAAAGCCUCAAAAGCAUAUUUAUGAACCAUUGAUGUUUCAUCCCAAAUUAUUAGUCUAGCCAAUGCUAAAAGUUUACCAAGGGCAUAUUGUUUACUCAUAGAACAGCGCAUAUUAGAACUUAUUUGAAGCAAAAUUUUGAAUUUUGAAUUUCCUAUUUGACCAACUGGUAAUAAAAAUGCAGCUACACCUGAUGAUGUUGUUGCUAAUACGAUAAGAUUUCGAGAUCAUCACUAGAUGGUAAUGCUUUGUACAAAUACGUUUUUCCAAUGUCUUUUGGGCCAUCGAUAAAAAACAUUCCAUUCUUAUUACUUAAAACACAAUCCAAAAUAAUAUCAUAGGCAUCUUGUUGCUUUUUAUUUAAACUCUCAGUGUAAUGUAUGUCUGACUGAAAAUUAAUAUUGGUUGUUUCUUCAACAAUCAUGGUUCAAAGAUAUCAUCAUCAUUCAAACUUAAAUCAAAAUUUACCAAACAAAAAUCAAUUAUAUUCUUACCAGCACCUUCUAAAAAAGAAUUUAUACAGUGUAAAGCUUUCAUCUCAGUACCUUGUUGUGUCAAACCUUUAUGUAAAUAAUCUUCUAUCAUAAAACCUUUAAACUUGUCCCAUAAAUUCCUUGGAUUUGUAGGCAACAUAAACUCAACAUAUUGGCAAAAAGUCACUGUAAUGAUAUGGGUAUUUGGUAAGCGACUGCUUCAAAUAAACACAUUUUAGAAUAGCUAUUUCUACAAAGAAGAUCAUGCGAAAGUGCUGCUUCACAAUAAGUAGAUAGAACAACACUAUUGACUAUUUUUAAAUCUUCAAAAAAUAUUUUGGUCCUCUAAUAUGAUUAAGUCAAACUCUUAAAAAAUACCUCCUACCCUCAUAUGGAUUAGUGCGACUAUUCUACCAAUAACAUCCUUGCUUUUUCUGGGACUCCAAAUUCGCAUGGAUGCAUCCCAUACAAAAUAGGUUGGAAAUUUUUUAUAUAGUAGAAUUUUUCUCUUUUCAUUUGAAAUAUUCAUUCUAAAGAAUUCUGUUAACAUUGUUCGGUGAACAAAGUCUUUAUUUAUAACUUUUGAUAAAUCAUCUGUCUCAUUGUAUGUAACUGUUUGAGCAUCUUUAGUAUGUAACUGUAAAGAGAUUAUUGUACAAGAUAUAUCGAAUAAAUCAAAACUAAAUAUCUUCCAUAUAGUUUCAGGUGGAGAUAUCCAUCUAACUGUUUGGUAGUUUGAAAUCUUAUCAACGAAUUGUUCAUUUGUUUCUUUAUUUAAAGUAAAAUGAAUGCAGUUAUGUCCCUUAUAUACAUACUUAUAUAGAUAUUUAACAGCCUUAACAGAAGAACAUAUUUCUACAAUAAUGUGACAGUCAUAUUUAGCUUAAACGUAAGGAUUAUAUGAUACAACCCAUUUAUUGUCCAACAUACAACAUCUUACUUUAACACUUACACCAUCAUUGCAACGCUUGUAAAG
rnacentral:lncRNA from 1 species